UACCGUGUUCAACAAAUAAGGUGUCCACGUCUACACGCUGCUGAACCGGGUUUUUUGUUUCAUUUUCGAACAAACCCUAAUACUUCCCCACAGCCGCUCUGAUUCCUUCUUCUCUCCUCAACACUCGCGCAACCAUUCUUCUUCUCCAUCACUCAUCCAUGGUUCCGGAUCUUAACCACGCAAUUAACAGGGUUUAUUCUUCCAUUGUUCAUCUCCAUCAUUCAUCCAUGGUUGAAGAUCUUAACCACGCGAUUAACAUAUCUGAACCACCCGUUGAUCAUAUUACGGUUUGUUCAAGCUAUCCGUACCGGCGACUGUUUUCAUUUUCCCAAUUUUGCAUCCUUUUCUGUCUCAUGUUUUAUUCUCCCUAAAAAUCUUUUGUUUUUUUAAAACUUUUAUGAAGAUUUGAACAACGCGUUUAAUAGGUUAUGGUUUCGUCAUGUUUCUGAUCAUUGUUCUUGAUUAUAGGCGUUUGUUGAGUUGAUUUUGUUAGUGAUUAUUGUAGAUCUGAACCACGCGUAUUACAGGGUUUAUUCUAAGAUUCGAAGUCAAACAACUUGGUCGGCUUCAUGUGAUUGACACUUCUUUGCACGAUUCUUGGAAAUCCAUAAUCAGAUAAGUCGAAUUAAGAAUUCUAAUUUUUAAAUGUAAAUUGGAAAUCUUAAUAACCAGUUUAUACAUAAUUGACGAAUCCUAACUAGGUAGUUGAAUACUGAAAGUAAUUGUUUGGCUUGAUAUUUCUAAUGUUGAACUAAUUUCACUAGCAUUGGGGUUUUUUUUUACCGUUAUGGAUUUGGAAAACCAAUUAUUUAGAAUAUGAAUAUGAUUUGAUAUUUGCUAAUCAAAUAUUGUGUUAAAUGUCCAAUUUGUGUUCUGGAUGUUUGCAAGAAACUAGUGGGAAACCCGCGCGUUGCGGCGGAGUCAUGCGCAUUGGCUUCUUGUACGAUCAAGAUGCCGCAUCACAAUUGUUGCUACUUCCUCCCGUGAUUUUCCUGCAUACUGGGUCAUGAGGGCUACCACUGCAGUCGAUUCCGCAAUGGUUAUAUUAAGACUGGCGGUCUGUGGCGGACUGGCGGCUCAGGUUGCACCUCAAGCGGUCUCGUCUUUUCUGGUGGAGAAAAUGGAUGAGAGUCGCAAGAACCGUUGGUUUUCGACAAUUGGUGUAUCGGGUACUGAAGGUUGCUCUUGCUCCUCCACAACCCCUUACGGUUCCGACUUCUGGUGUUGUAUGAUCAGCAAAAAGAUCGUUACUUAACGAUAAUUUUUUAAUAAAUCGAUAAACGAUGAUGAUU